UGUAAGAAGAUCUGAAUCUCUACAAACAGAAUAUCGCAGUCUGUCUCUGCAGUGAUGUUCACUCCAAAGGAAAUGAAAUGAAAGGAAGUGUUGGCUGCUGGCUUGGAGACAGUGGUGGCCAGUCAUUAGAGGACAAAGCUGGUUAAGUGAACUAUGGAAAAAUCACCAAAAUAUUGCACUGUGAGGUAAAUGCUGUCAUAUCCAUCUUAUAAAUGAGGAAACAAGCUUGGAAUGAUGAAGUAACUUGCCCAAACUCAUACAGCUAGUAACAGAUGAUACUGGGAUUUGAACCUAUGCUCUUAAUCAGUAGGCCAUGCUGAAAGCAAGGCAGUAGGCUUAUUUAUCAAUAAGCCUCCAAGAAGGCUUCUGUAACCAUGCUUCCCUCCCCUAGUUUGGAUUAUAUGCUUCUCUUCCUUGUUCGGAGCACCUUUUGAAAACCCUAUUUCUUAACAAUAUGUUAUUUGGUUUGUUUUACUCUCUCUUCCAUAAUAUUCCAAACCUCUCAGGGGUAUUCUUUAUGUCUUAUCUAGGGCUCAAGUGUUAAUAAUUGUUAUAUCUCCAAUACUUAGCAUAGUGCCUGGCACAUAAUACACACUCAGUAAAUGUUUAUUGAUAUGUGAUGAAUUGAUAAAGGAAUAUGAUCUUUAAACAAUUUUCCGUUACAAGAUUGUGGAAUCUUAUGGGAAAUUUUUCCAGAUACCCACAUGAAAGCACAUGAGACUGAUGAAUUAAAAAUAAAAUAUAAGUUCAAACCAUCAUUUUAUAAAUGUGUGCUGAUUGCCUCAAGGUCAUCAUCAUGUUGUAUUGUCCAAUCCCCGU